rnacentral:tRNA from 1 species
AAGUGAGAAGCAAACAUUGCAAUCAGUUUCGACCUGAUCUUAGAUAAUACUAUUUAUCCUUGCUUU